AUGGAGGAGUCGCCCGAGAACGCUGCCGCGGCGCCCGCCGCUCCUCCUACCCCCGCCUCGGCCCCGGCGCUGGCGCCGAAGCCGUCCCUACCCGCUAGGUCCGGGAUCCCGCCAUGGUACGACCUUGACGCCAAGUGGGACGCCUGCCUCGACCUCUCCAUCCGCCGCGUCGCCUACUCCUCCCUCGCCGGCGCCUUCGGGGGCCUCAUCCUCUUCUGUAAGCUCCCCACCUCCGCCUCCCCCUUCCCCUCGCCGCACCGUGAGAUCUGUUCGCCGUGCCUCCCAUGCGUAUCUCUUGAUCUAGGGUUGCGCGGAAAUGAUGCCCGUGCUCCAUCUCGAUCGGUGGUGGCCGCCAUGGACACCCGCAGCUAUGGUGAGCCCCUGCGCCACCGCCCUCUCUCCUCUCCUCCCCUACUCCCCCACCCAUCUCUCUCCCCCGCAGACGAACCCCGCCGCCAGGAGGCCGCCAUGGAGGCCUGUCCCGAGCUCGCUUUGCCGCUCCUUCAGUUGCAUCUGUACAUACCCACAGAUCGUAGCAAACCCAAUCCAGUAGUGGUAUUUGUAACUGGUGGAGCUUGGAUCAUUGGGCUGUUCUACUUCUUCGAAUUCAGGCGGCAUAAGGAGGACCCAGUGUUGAUCUGGCUGACGGGAGGACCCGGCUACUGCAGCGACCUAGCACUUUUUUACGAGAAUGGCCCCUUCCACAUAGCAGGCAACAUGUCGCUACUCUGGAAUGAGUUUGGAUGGGAUCAAGAGUCGAAUCUUAUCUAUGGUGAUCAGCCAACUGGGACUGGGUUCAGCUACAGCUCUGAUUCGUGUGAUACCCACCAUAACGAAGUUGAGGUGAACCAGACGGCGACCAAGAAGCGCGUGGCCCAGCUGACCAAGAAGGCCAGGAACGUGGCCGCCGGUGACAAGGAGCCCGGGUUUAAGUAUCUUUGCUGGGUGUCGAUGGUGUUGUUUAUGCCAAAACAAGUCGGUUGCUGCAAGUCUUGCAAGAAAUUUGGGUGA
rnacentral:rRNA from 1 species